CUUCUAUAUAUAUAUAUAGAAAAGCUGAGUGAUUGACAGAUCUAUCAAGCACAGCUGAAACUACUUGACAGAUCGG